UAGCCUUUGAUGAAAGCAGUUGACAAAAAUACCAUCUUUCGGGACUGAUCUCAACAAUGCUGUUAUUCUGCAAUUCUGAGGCCA